CAGUUGUUGUUUGGCGUGCAUGCUGGCGCUGUUGUGGGACCGGCUCGGUUGGUGUGUCGUCGCUGUGGCGGGAGCUGAGUCUGGAGGUAGAUCAUAGAUGCAGCAGUAAGCCGUGUUAGGAAUCCAACACGGGUUUUCCUUCUGCUCGGUUGUUUGGUGGUGCAGUGGUCCAGUGGUGGAGGGCCAUCUAAUUAAAUAGAGCUUUAGGCUUCACUGCCAAAGUAUAGUAAGUAUGGUUGUUUAAUUGGGGGUUGUGUAGUGUAAUGUAUCUCCUGGUCCUAGAAUGUGUUUAUUGAUUAUUAUUAACAAUUAUUAUUUAUAUAAUGGUGUUAAUAUUGAACUAUAUGCUUUAAUUUUAGCACAGACUGAGUAUUGUCCAGCCUUCCUUCUCCACUUGUGUUGGAGUGUAGCAUUCUACAAUUUAGUGGAACUGGGCCUUGUUGCCUGUGAGCCACUGUUUUCCUCCUACCACGUUUUUAUUUAAUGAACACUGUGCAAUAUCUCUGAGCCAUCUUGUUUAGUUGAUUGUGUACUGACCAUUCAGCAGUUCUUUGUGAGCUCAGUAUUUUUAUUUGUGUUUACUGUGUUUUAGAUAGACACGGUUUCUAAUAUCCUCUACUGGGCCUUAGGUAUGUAACUAAUAGUGGUAUUGGAUACUGACUCAUGGUGUUUUGUUAAUUUGGUGUACACCUGUAGCAUCUUUUAUUUGAUGUCAAAACUAGUUUUGUUUGUAGAGUGAUUUAUUUUGUUUGUGGUUGUUUUGGUUGCUAGUGUGCGUCAUAACACAGAUUUCUUUAUUUAUUUAUUUAUUAUUUUUUUCAUUUGAGGUGAAUGAUUUGUUUUCAAUAACUGAAGUGUUGCAGGUGUUACACUCUUUUGUUUAUUUUCUUUUUGUUGUCAGGGUCAGUAAUAACAUUAUUCCCUCCAUUUUUGGAGUUUUUGGUUGAUGUAACCAUAAUUGCUGUUAUUAGCUAACUGAAAGGGCCUUAAAGUAUUUUAUGCUUGUGUCCUGCUGAUUUUAUACAAUAAAUGAUAUAUUUUUGUUAAUCAGCCUUGAUUCUCAUUUAUUUGAGGCAACCUUUGGGGAUCCCUUACCCUGUAUGAUAAAUUAGGGUGGCGUAGUCUAAAUUGAUUGGUUGUUGGUCUGGUUCCCUACAUUUAGUGGGAGCGACCCCACCAAAUAGUGGCGCAGUCGGCAGGAUCUUAAGUUAAGGCUGUUUAACAAAGGUUUGGUCAGUUACACAUGAUGGCUCAGUGUUUGGGUUAGUAAGUGGAGGAGUUGGAGGAAAAACAGUGGUCACAGGUGAAGAGAGGUGCUGACACCAGGAGAAGAGCUUCAGCAUCUUGGAGAAGACCAGGCAUCUCUGGGAACGACUAGUUAAUAGCUUUAGAAUUUCUUUUUUUUGUAUUUUUUUAGUUUUCUUUGUAUCCUCUCAUUUGUUUUCAGGUUAUAGAUAUACAUAUAUAUAUAUAUUUUUUUUUAGCUGUCAUAAUGGCUGAUGAAAACCUUGCUGAUCAGAUGAAGGCACUUACUGAUUUAGUUCAACAACUUAGAGCUGAAAAUAGUAGACUUAGAGAGGAGGUAACUCAGCGAUCUACCGCUGUAGGAACAGAUAAUGCGGCUGCAAAUAACUCUAUACAGUCCUCUAAUCCCAGUUCUGUUCAAGGUAAUGUCUCAGUUUCAAAUGGGGUAGUUGAACGUUACGUAUAUAUGCCAAGGGAUAGAAAAUGUCCGAGGUUUUCAGGGAACCCUAAGGUAGAUUCUGUUACAGUGGAGGAGUGGGUGGAAGAGGUUAAAAGAUAUUUAGCAGUGCGUCCUGGGUCUAGGGGUGAGCAGGCCUUAGUGGUAUUGGAUUUGCUGGACGGGGAGGCAAAGGCAGAAGUGAAGUUUCGUUCGGCUGUAGAGAGAGAGGAACCAGAGAGAAUAUUUAGUAUUUUAAGUAGUGUAUAUGGGUGUUCACAAACCUGUAUUAGCCUACAGACUCAGUUCUUUCAGCGGCGACAACGCGAGGGGGAGUCCUUAAGGGUUUAUUCCCAUGCAUUAAUGACUUUGAUGGAGGCCGUAAAACGGCGGGAUCCUUUUUGUUUUGCUAACUCAGAUCUUACCCUACGUGAUCAAUUUAUUGAAUGUG